UGGGGAAUUUUGGACAAUGGGCGAAAGCCUGAUCCAGCAAUGCCGCGUGUGUGAAGAAGGCCUUCGGGUUGUAAAGCACUUUUGUCCGGAAAGAAAUGGCUCUGGUUAAUACCUGGGGUCGAUGACGGUACCGGAAGAAUAAGGACCGGCUAACUACGUGCCAGCAGCCGCGGUAAUACGUAGGGUCCAAGCGUUAAUCGGAAUUACUGGGCGUAAAGCGUGCGCAGGCGGUUGUGCAAGACCGAUGUGAAAUCCCCGAGCUUAACUUGGGAAUUGCAUUGGUGACUGCACGGCUAGAGUGUGUCAGAGGGGGGUAGAAUUCCACGUGUAGCAGUGAAAUGCGUAGAGAUGUGGAGGAAUACCGAUGGCGAAGGCAGCCCCCUGGGAUAACACUGACGCUCAUGCGCGAAAGCGUGGGAGCAAACAGGAUUAGAUACCCUGGUAGUCCACGCCCUAAACGAUGUCAACUAGUUGUUGGGGAUUCAUUUCCUUAGUAACGUAGCUAACGCGUGAAGUUGACCGCCUGGGGAGUACGGUCGCAAGAUUAAAACUCAAAGGAAUUGACGGGGU
rnacentral:rRNA from 1 species